rnacentral:rRNA from 1 species
GCCAGUCUGCAUGGAGCCGACCUUGAAAUACCACCCUUUAAUGUUUGAUGUUCUAACGUGGACCCGUGAUCCGGGUUGCGGACAGUGUCUGGUGGGUAGUUUGACUGGGGCGGUCUCCUCCUAAAGAGUAACGGAGGAGCACGAAGGUUGGCUAAUCCUGGUCGGACAUCAGGAGGUUAGUGCAAUGGCAUAAGCCAGCUUGACUGCGAGCGUGACGGCGCGAGCAGGUGCGAAAGCAGGUCAUAGUGAUCCGGUGGUUCUGAAUGGAAGGGCCAUCGCUCAACGGAUAAAAGGUACUCCGGGGAUAACAGGCUGAUACCGCCCAAGAGUUCAUAUCGACGGCGGUGUUUGGCACCUCGAUGUCGGCUCAUCACAUCCUGGGGCUGAAGUAGGUCCCAAGGGUAUGGCUGUUCGCCAUUUAAAGUGGUACGCGAGCUGGGUUUAGAACGUCGUGAGACAGUUCGGUCCCUAUCUGCCGUGGGCGCUGGAGAACUGAGGGGGGCUGCUCCUAGUACGAGAGGACCGGAGUGGACGCAUCACUGGUGUUCGGGUUGUCAUGCCAAUGGCACUGCCCGGUAGCUAAAUGCGGAAGAGAUAAGUGCUGAAAGCAUCUAAGCACGAAACUUGCCCCGAGAUGAGUUCUCCCUGAGACUUUAGGUCUCCUGAAGGAACGUUGAAGACGACGACGUUGAUAGGCCGGGUGUGUAAGCGCAGCGAUGCGUUGAGCUAACCGGUACUAAUGAACCGUGAGGCUUAACCUUACA